rnacentral:rRNA from 1 species
CCUACGGGAGGCAGCAGUGGGGAAUAUUGCACAAUGGGGGAAACCCUGAUGCAGCGACGCCGCGUGAGUGAAGAAGUAAUUCGUUAUGUAAAGCUCUAUCAGCAGGGAAGAAAAUGACGGUACCUGAGUAAGAAGCCCCGGCUAACUACGUGCCAGCAGCCGCGGUAAUACGUAGGGGGCAAGCGUUAUCCGGAUUUACUGGGUGGAAAGGGAGCGUAGACGGCAGUGCAAGUCUGGAGUGAAAGGCGGGGGCUCAACCCCCGGACUGCUCUGGAAACUGUACGGCUGGAGUGCAGGAGAGGUAAGUGGAAUUCCUAGUGUAGUGGUGAAAUGCGUAGAUAUUAGGAGGAACACCAGUGGCGAAGGCGGCUUACUGGACUGUAACUGACGUUGAGGCUCGAAAGCGUGGGGAGCAAACAGGAUUAGAUACCCUUGUAGUC